UACGUAGGUGGCAGGCGUUAUCCGGAAUUACUGGGCGUAAAGCGCACGCAGGCGGCUAGUCAAGUUCGACGUGAAAGCUCCCGGCUUAACUGGGAGAGGUCGUUGAAAACUGGUUAGCUUGAGGCAAUGAGAGGGGUGUAGAAUUCCCGGUGUAGUGGUGGAAUGCGUAGAUAUCGGGAGGAAUACCAGUGGCGAAAGCGGCACCCUAGCGUUGUUCUGACGCUCAUGUGCGAAAGCGUGGGGAGCGAACGGG
rnacentral:rRNA from 1 species